GCCAGGUGUGGUGGCGCAUGCCUGUAAUCCCAGUGGCUCAGGAGGUUGAGGCAGGAUGAUCAUGAGUUCAAAGCCAGUCUCAGCAAAAGCGAGGUGCUAAGCAACUCAGUGAGACCCUGUCUCUU
rnacentral:sRNA from 1 species